rnacentral:rRNA from 1 species
CCUACGGGUGGCAGCAGUGAGGAAUAUUGGUCAAUGGCCGCGAGUCUGAACCAGCCAAGUAGCGUGAAGGAUGACUGCCCUACGGGUUGUAAACUUCUUUUAUAAGGGAAUAAAGCGAGGCACGUGUGCCUUUUUGUAUGUACCAUAUGAAUAAGGAUCGGCUAACUCCGUGCCAGCAGCCGCGGUAAUACGGAGGAUCCGAGCGUUAUCCGGAUUUAUUGGGUUUAAAGGGAGCGUAGGUGGAUUGUUAAGUCAGUGGUGAAAUUUUGGGGCUAAACCGUAAAAUUGCAUUGGAUAUGGGAGGCUUGAGGGCACGAGAGGUGUGCGGAAUGCGUGGUGGAGCGGGGGAAUGCUUAGAUAUCACGAAGAACUCCGAUUGCGAAGGCA